GAAACGCGAUAGGUAAUGUGAAUUGCAGAAUUCCGUGAAUCAUCGAAUCUUUGAACGCACAUUGCGCCUUCUGGUAUUCCGGUAGGCAUGCCUGUCUGAGCGUCAGCAAAACACCCUCAGCCUGAGUAUUUCCGUACUUAACGCUGGUCUUGGGUGGUGGAUGCCGGAGGGAGUGAGUUAAUUCUUUCCCGCCUGCGCCCUCCCUAAACUUGCUGCACGACCGCAAGCCCCUUCUAGCUAGGUCAACGGAGUGGUGUUACAAUCUUCCAAAAGGCCUGCUGGUAAUCUUGCUUCGCGGCGUUAAAUCAUAGAGUCUCCAACCGUGGAGGCUUGAAGUUUUGACCUCAGAUCAGACAAGGAUACCCGCUGAACUUAA
rnacentral:misc_RNA from 1 species